ACGACCGUCGGUAGAGCCGAAACGCCGACACGGCGAUUAUUAUGCCGUUUGAGACGUAGAAAGACAACGAGGACGCGAGGAACGAACCGUAUCCGACGAAACCGCUAGUCUUUCCUAUGGUAUAGACACCUGACUCAGAAUCACGGACUAUUAAUGCAUUUUUUCGUACUCGAUAAUAGUUAUCAUUAAAUUCCGUAAAUAAUGAUACCAUGACGUAAAU